UCUGAGGACAGAGUCUGGGUGCAGACGUUGUUGCUUGGGUACUUCUCUGUUGCGUGUAGGUGAAGGGGGCUUCCUGACCGAGGUAAGCCGGGCCCCGAGGCUCGGAGUUGAGAAGGGAGACUACCGGUCGGCAAGGGCUCGGUGGGAGCGGGACAGGUCAGAUUCUCGGCCCGACGGAGGGGCUAGCGGUCUGGUGGGCGACUGACCGAGCGGCGGAGCGCGCGGGACACACCUACAGGCCCCUGCGCCCUGCGAGCGGGCUGGUCGGGCCGGGCCGCGGGUCUCCUGCCGGGGCUCUGACAUGGAUUUAGGUGCUAUUACAAAAUACUCAGCAUUACAUGCCAAGCCCAAUGGACUGAUCCUUCAAUACGGGACUGCUGGAUUUCGAACGAAGGCAGAACAUCUUGAUCAUGUCAUGUUUCGCAUGGGAUUAUUAGCUGUCCUGAGGUCAAAACAGACAAAAUCCACUAUAGGAGUCAUGGUAACAGCGUCCCACAAUCCUGAGGAAGACAAUGGUGUAAAAUUGGUUGAUCCUUUGGGUGAAAUGUUGGCACCAUCCUGGGAGGAACAUGCCACCUGUUUAGCAAAUGCUGAGGAACAAGAUAUGCAGAGAGUGCUUAUUGACAUCAGCGAGAAAGAAGCUGUGAAUUUGCAACAAGAUGCCUUUGUAGUUAUUGGUAGAGAUACCAGGCCCAGCAGUGAGAAACUUUCACAAUCUGUAAUAGAUGGUGUGACUGUUCUAGGAGGUCAAUUCCAUGAUUAUGGCUUGUUAACAACACCCCAGCUGCACUACAUGGUGUAUUGUCGAAACACGGGUGGCCGAUACGGAAAGGCAACUAUAGAAGGUUACUACCAGAAACUCUCUAAGGCUUUUGUGGAACUCACCAAACAGGCUUCCUGCAGUGGAGAUGAAUACAGAUCACUUAAGGUCGACUGUGCAAAUGGCAUAGGGGCCCUGAAGCUAAGGGAAAUGGAACACUACUUCUCACAGGGCCUGUCAGUUCAGCUGUUUAAUGAUGGGUCCAAGGGCAAACUCAAUCAUUUAUGUGGAGCUGACUUUGUGAAAAGUCAUCAGAAACCUCCACAGGGAAUGGAAAUUAAGUCCAAUGAAAGAUGCUGUUCUUUUGAUGGAGAUGCAGACAGAAUUGUUUAUUACUACCAUGAUGCAGAUGGCCACUUUCAUCUCAUAGAUGGAGACAAGAUAGCAACGUUAAUUAGCAGUUUCCUUAAAGAGCUCCUGGUGGAGAUUGGAGAAAGUUUGAAUAUUGGUGUUGUACAAACUGCAUAUGCAAAUGGAAGUUCAACACGGUAUCUUGAAGAAGUUAUGAAGGUACCUGUCUAUUGCACUAAGACUGGUGUAAAACAUUUGCACCACAAGGCUCAAGAGUUUGACAUUGGAGUUUAUUUUGAAGCAAAUGGGCAUGGCACUGCACUGUUUAGUACAGCUGUUGAAAUGAAGAUAAAACAAUCAGCAGAACAACUGGAAGAUAAGAAAAGAAAAGCUGCUAAGAUGCUUGAAAACAUUAUUGACUUGUUUAACCAGGCAGCUGGUGAUGCUAUUUCUGACAUGCUGGUGAUUGAGGCAAUCUUGGCUCUGAAGGGCUUGACUGUACAACAGUGGGAUGCUCUCUAUACAGAUCUUCCGAACAGACAACUUAAAGUUCAGGUUGCAGACAGGAGAGUUAUUAGCACUACCAAUGCUGAAAGACAAGCAGUUACACCCCCAGGAUUACAGGAGGCAAUCAAUGACCUGGUGAAGAAGUACAAGCUUUCUCGAGCUUUUGUCCGGCCCUCUGGUACAGAAGAUGUCGUCCGAGUAUAUGCAGAAGCAGACUCACAAGAAAGUGCAGAUCACCUUGCACAUGAAGUGAGCUUGGCAGUAUUUCAGCUGGCUGGAGGAAUUGGAGAAAGACCCCAACCAGUAACACCUUGACAAGUAAAGAGGAUAAACUUAUUUUGAUUCUUGUCAUGGAAGAUAAAAAGUCAGUAUCAUGAGCAUACUAUUUCAUGUCCCUCCAAAAGCACCACAGAAUAGUUAUCACUUUUGUGAAGAAAACCAUAUCCAAAAGAUGAGCCAAAACCUAUAAAAACAUAAAAAAUGAAGAGUAACGUAUGAGGUGAAACUGACAUCAUCCCAAGGAUAUAAAUAUGGGCAAAUCUUGCCAUUUCCAACUGAGAUAGGGAAGUACAAAAAAGAAAAGAGUUCAAGAACCUUCUGUGACAAUAAUAAACCUAAAUGUUUGACAAGAAUACCUUCAACAUCAGAUUCCAAAUUGGUUCCAUCUACCAUUAUUUUGGGAGAAGGCUUAACUUCAAGAUUUCGUCGCAGCCAUGUUGUUUGUUCCAGAGAAGAACCAGCAAUUGCACCAAUUGCAUCCACUAUUUUAAUAUGCACAUGUUGAAAAGGAAGAGGAUCCUUCAUUCUGAAAGGAAGAAAAGGCAUGUGAGGAAACAGUAAAAUAUUGGAGGGGAACAGCUACAGAUCCCAACAAAUGAACUUAAUUUUUUGAUGAAAUUAGCCAGCAGGGUUAUUUGGUGAUGAUUCCAACACCUGUACAUACAUUCCCUCUCUGAACCUUAUGACAACUCCUGUGUAGCUGGGACUACAGGCACGUGUGACCACGCCUGGCUAAUUUUUAAACUUUUGAAGAGACACGGUCUCCCUAUGUUGCCUAGGCUGGUCUCAAACUCCCGGGCUCAAGCAAUCCUCUUGCUUCAGCAUCCCAAAGUGCUGGGAUUGCAGGCAUGAACCACCGCACAUGGCUUCUUUCUUUCUUUUCAUGAUCAAAUAUCCUCAAAGAAGAAUCAACACUUUCCCACACUAAGCAUUUGCUGUUAACACAUCUGUGCUUCUACCUCUCCAAACCCUCUCUCCAAAAUCAUCAGAUAACUGGUGAUUAGAUAAUUAGGAUGCCUGUCCAGAUUGUCAACAAACAUAGCCUUUUAUUAUUCCUCACCUUCUUAAGGUCUCUGAAGGUGUUAACCAAGCCCUCUUAACCUCCCUUUGGUUCUGGAACAAUUAAAUACCUGGUUUUCUUCUUUUUGAUACAUCCCUUUCUAUAUCCUUUGCUGGCCCCUUCUCCUUCUUUAUCCUGUUCUUUCAAUUCCAUCAAUAGUUGAAACCAUCCCCACACUUCCCACUUGAAAUAGAAUUCCUAGUCUAGCCUCUUUCCCCUCUGAUCUAGCCUACUACUACUAACAUGCCAGUCAUGUCUCUCCUCAAAAACCUGCAACCGCUCCCACUCCCUCUCAAGACCACAUUCUUUAAAAUAAAAUUCAAGAUCCUGCUCCAUCUAGCUCCCAUCUCCCUUUUCAUCCAGCCUUAUUUUCCACUAUACCACUGCCUGUGCCCUGCUCUAUUACCAAAUCAGACAAUGUACUUUGCCCCAGAAUACCCUUCCCCUUCCUGUUUCACAAAGGCUUUCUGUGCCCACCACCUCUAUUCACUUAUCAAGUAUUUACUGGGGACCUAUUAGGAAUCAAGAAUAAUGGCAAGCAAGAAACAGAGACUGUCUAUGACAUCCCAGUACUUGCAGUCAUGGGUGACUAACAUUUAUCAAAUAAUCAUAUAAAUCAUUAAGAUAAAUCAGGAAACUCCAAGACACAGAGAGAAAAAUUUUCCCAGGCUGUUUAGGUUUGGGGCCCAGCUCAAGUGUCCCUCGUCUAUGAAGUUCCCCUUCAGCCAUGCUACAUCAUCCCCUUCCCUUUCCAUCCCAUAUUCUCCACCACCAAGGAAACAGCUGCUGUUCUAACAGUUUUAUGUUAGUGUAGUUACAUUUUGUUUAUGUAUAAACAUAGACUGUUUCCUCCUCUCACCCUGCCUCCCAGUUUUUUUUUUUCUUAAACAGGCCUUAUACAUCUAGUUUUGCAUCUCAAGAACACUAUGAGAAGGUAGAGAGAUCACUUCACCUAAAACAUCUAUUACUAAUACUUGGCAACUAGGACAAUUAACAUUAUCCUUUUAUCUGAAAUAAUAUUUGUAAGUGAAAUUGCUUACCCAAGUAUAAGAAACUGCCCUGGAGCUGGAAGACUCAGUUGUAUAGAGUCUUUCAGAAGUAUCAACAGUGACGCCCAGCUAUCCACUAAAUUGGGCACUGGAAUUCUGCAAGAUAAUAUAGUUUAUACAAAAGCCACAAUAAACUAUGGUUUUCUACU